rnacentral:rRNA from 1 species
AGUGAACGCUGGCGGUAGGCCUAACACAUGCAAGUCGAACGGCAGCACAGUAAGAGCUUGCUCUUACGGGUGGCGAGUGGCGGACGGGUGAGGAAUACAUCGGAAUCUACUUUUUCGUGGGGGAUAACGGAGGGAAACUUACGCUAAUACCGCAUACGACCUACGGGUGAAAGCAGUGGAUCUUCGGACCUUGCGCGAUUGAAUGAGCCGAUGUCGGAUUAGCUAGUUGGCGGGGUAAAGGCCCACCAAGGCGACGAUCCGUAGCUGGUCUGAGAGGAUGAUCAGCCACACUGGAACUGAGACACGGUCCAGACUCCUACGGGAGGCAGCAGUGGGGAAUAUUGGACAAUGGGCGCAAGCCUGAUCCAGCCAUACCGCGUGGGUGAAGAAGGCCUUCGGGUUGUAAAGCCCUUUUGUUGGGAAAGAAAAGCAGCAGGUUAAUACCCCGCUGUUCUGACGGUACCCAAAGAAUAAGCACCGGCUAACUUCGUG